rnacentral:miRNA from 1 species
GCAGACACAUUCCAGCCAAUCAGCAGCAGACUCUCCCUCCCACACCCUCCCACCUCCUGGACAGCAUCCAUUUUACAUUCAUUGUGAAGCUGCAUUCUUAGUGAGCUGUCCAGGAGGUGGGAGGGUCUGGGAGGGAGGGUCUGCUGCUGAUUGGCUGGAAUAUGUCUG